GCGAACGGACGAGAAGCUUGCUUCUCUGAUGUUAGCGGCGGACGGGUGAGUAACACGUGGAUAACCUACCUAUAAGACUGGGAUAACUUCGGGAAACCGGAGCUAAUACCGGAUAAUAUUUUGAACCGCAUGGUUCAAAAGUGAAAGACGGUCUUGCUGUCACUUAUAGAUGGAUCCGCGCUGCAUUAGCUGGUUGGUAAGGUAACGGCUUACCAAGGCAACGAUGCAUAGCCGACCUGAGAGGGUGAUCGGCCACACUGGAACUGAGACACGGUCCAGACUCCUACGGGAGGCAGCAGUAGGGAAUCUUCCGCAAUGGGCGAAAGCCUGACGGAGCAACGCCGCGUGAGUGAUGAAGGUCUUCGGAUCGUAAAACUCUGUUAUUAGGGAAGAACAUAUGUGUAAGUAACUGUGCACAUCUUGACGGUACCUAAUCAGAAAGCCACGGCUAACUACGUGCCAGCAGCCGCGUAAUACGUAGGUGGCAAGCGUUAUCCGGAAUUAUUGGGCGUAAAGCGCGCGUAGGCGGUUUUUUAAGUCUGAUGUGAAAGCCCACGGCUCAACCGUGGAGGGUCAUUGGAAACUGGAAAACUUGAGUGCAGAAGAGGAAAGUGGAAUUCCAUGUGUAGCGGUGAAAUGCGCAGAGAUAUGGAGGAACACCAGUGGCGAAGGCGACUUUCUGGUCUG
rnacentral:rRNA from 1 species